rnacentral:rRNA from 1 species
GAUGAACGCUGGCGGCGUGCCUAAUACAUGCAAGUCGAGCGAACGGACGAGAAGCUUGCUUCUCUGAUGUUAGCGGCGGACGGGUGAGUAACACGUGGAUAACCUACCUAUAAGACUGGGAUAACUUCGGGAAACCGGAGCUAAUACCGGAUAAUAUUUUGAACCGCAUGGUUCAAAAGUGAAAGACGGUCUUGCUGUCACUUAUAGAUGGAUCCGCGCUGCAUUAGCUAGUUGGUAAGGUAACGGCUUACCAAGGCAACGAUGCAUAGCCGACCUGAGAGGCGGAUCGGCCACACUGGAACUGAGCCACGGUCCAGACUCCUACGGGAGGCAGCAGUCGGGAAUCGUCCGCAAUGGGCGAAAGCCUGACGGAGCAACGCCGCGUGAGUGAUGAAGGUCUUCGGAUCGUAAAACUCUGUUAUUAGGGAAGAACAGAUGUGUAAGUAACUGUGCACAUCUUGACGGUACCUAAUCAGAAAGCCACGGCUAACUACGUG